rnacentral:rRNA from 1 species
GAUGAACGCUAGCUACAGGCUUAACACAUGCAAGUCGAGGGGAAACGCCAUCGAAAGCUUGCUUUUGAUGGGCGUCGACCGGCGCACGGGUGAGUAACGCGUAUCCAACCUGCCCACCACUUGGGGAUAACCUUGCGAAAGUAAGACUAAUACCCAAUGACGUCUCUAGAAGACAUCUGAAAGAGAUUAAAGAUUUAUCGGUGAUGGAUGGGGAUGCGUCUGAUUAGCUUGUUGGCGGGGUAACGGCCCACCAAGGCGACGAUCAGUAGGGGUUCUGAGAGGAAGGUCCCCCACAUUGGAACUGAGACACGGUCCAAACUCCUACGGGAGGCAGCAGUGAGGAAUAUUAGUCAAUGGACGAGAGUCUGAACCAGCCAAGUAGCGUGCAGAAUGACGGCCCUAUGGGUUGUAAGCUGCUUUUAUAAGGGAAUAAAGUGAGUCUCGUGAGACUUUUUGCAUGUACCUUAUGAAUAAGGACCGGCUAAUUCCGUG